UUUCAAAGCGGCAGUGCAGCAUGGAGCCCAGCGUCAGUGGGGGACUCUGAGUCCUCCGUUGACCCCGGGCUCCAUGCUGUGCUGCCGCUUUGAAA
rnacentral:pre_miRNA from 1 species